ensembl:lncRNA
UGAUACUGGAGGGCGACUGAAAGGCUCAGACUAGCGACUGCUCUCAACUUUGCGCCCUGGCCGCCGCCGGCGCUCGCCGCGAGUGACCGCUCCCCUGCCUCCAACUUCCAGCAACUUCCAACGCCCGCUCCCCACCUGCAGUGCGCUGGCGCCAGACGGUCGCAGGGAACAAUCGUGGCGUGGAUCGCCGACGCGGGAGCCAAUCAGAGAGCGCCGGCCGCACCGCGCCCCUCCCCCCGCCGAGGAUCGGAGCGAGGGGAGCGAGCGCGGCGAGGGCGUAGCGUGAGGGCUCCUCGCGGGCGUGGUGGGACGCGUCACCGAGUUUGGUAGAUUCUCAGCUGAAACUGAAUAGAGGAUGGAAAGAAGAAUAAGAAAAGAAAACCUGGACCUUCAUUCAACCUGCGGAAAUGUUCCAGUGGGAAUCAUAAUCAAUUAGAGAGCAACCCGUUCUGUUCAACUAGUUGCUUAUUAAAGAAUAUUAAUCCAAAAAUCUAGAUUUCUCUAUUAAUACAUUAUUAGAAAAAAAAUCCUUUCAGUUUGGAAACGUGCAGAGAAAACAUACAGGUGGCUGAGCAUACAAACUGAAAGAAAAAUUGAAAUACCAUUUUAAAACGAUUAAAAUGUGUUGGGAACAUACUGCAACCUCGAGUAAGCAGCAUGGAGAUACAAUCUCUGCCUGCCACCACGCCCAGCUAACUUUUGUACUUUUUGUAGAACAAAUAAUGUCACAAAAGGAGUUUCCUUAGGCUGAAUUUUUAUUUUAGUCAGACAUGACAGAACAUAGCCUAUUAUUUGGGCCUACUUCACCUAAAAGCAUUAAGAGAGUUUUGCAUUUACAGAAAUAAACAGGAUAACAACUAGUUUUGAACUUUUUCUUAUUAAAUGUUGAAAUAUAAUGUGGUUAGAUUAUUUUACUUUUAGCUGUCAGUAUCUAUUUUGAGCUUUUACAAACUGCACAGUAGGAAAGGAUUUCAAAAGUACAAGCAGUAAUUAAAGAUUUCAUGGAUGAAAGUUAAGCAAAUGAAUGCAUAACUUAUUUGGAGUACAGUAUUACUUUGUAGCACAUUUAAAAUUAUUUCUCUGAUUGACCAUUUUGAAAUUUCCAGGCUGGCCAGGCAUGGUGGCUCAUGCCUGUAAUCCCAGCACUUUGGGAGGCUGAGGCAGGUGGAUCACGAGGUCAGGAGUUCAAGACCAGCCUGGCCAACAUGGUGAAACCCCAUCUCUACUAAAAAUACGAAAAUUAGGUUGGCAUGGAAGCACACACCUGUAAUCCCAGCUACUUGGGAGGCUGAGGCAGGAGAAUCGCUUGAACCUGGGAGGUGGAGGUUGCAGUGAUCCAAGAUCACACCGUUGCACUCCAGCCUGGGCAACAGGGCAAGACACCAUCUCAAAAAAAAAAAAAGAAAAGAAAAUUCCAGACACCAUUAGACUUUAUACUUCGGUACAGUAUUUCUCUAAUUCUACAAAUAUUUAUAUUUUUUUGGUUAGCAUCCCCCUGGUAAUCAAUUAAAUGAUCCUACAUUACUCUGGGACAGAGGCCAGGAACUUGGUCUUACAGCAUAAAACUACUCUAUUACUCUUUGUGUAAAAUACAUUCUGCUACUGGUCACUAGAUACUUAUCUCAGAGAGCUCCUAAAAUUGUUCCCUUUGGAAUUGCUUGACUGUCAUUGAGAAAUAAAAGAAAAAAUCAACUCACAUAUAUCUGAUACAACCCAACAAGACUGCGUCUCCGUGGGGAUCCAGGACCACCUUUAUUAGAAUCACUCAGGAUGCUUAUUUAGAACCCAGAUUCCUGGACAAUAGUCAGCACAUAAAAUAAUCAGAAUGUUCUAUGUCAGAGCCCUAGAAUCUGCCUUUUAUCAGUGUUCAUGGGCAAUUCCUAAGUACAAGCUGAAGUUCAGGUACCAUUGCCCUGGGCCUUUAAUAGCUCUCAUUUUGUUAAGAACUUCAUUAUAAUUAAACAAAUGCAAAAAUAAUUCACAUAUGCUGAUUCUUAUA